GAUGAAGAACGUAGCGAAAUGCGAUAAGUAAUGUGAAUUGCAGAAUUCAGUGAAUCAUCGAAUCUUUGAACGCACAUUGCGCCCCCCAGUAUUCUGGCGGGCAUGCCUCUUCGAGCGUCAUUUCAACCAUCAAGCCCUGCUUGUGUUGGGGUCCUGCGGCUGCCCGCAGGCCCUGAAAACCAGUGGCGGGCUCGCUAGUCACACCGAGCGCAGUAGCACAUCUCGCUCAGGGCGUGCGGCGGGCUCCAGCCGUUAAAGCACCCACCUUUCGCAAGGUUGACCUCGGAUCAGGUAGGAAUACCCGCUGAACUUAAGCAUAUCAAUAAGCGGAGGA
rnacentral:misc_RNA from 1 species